rnacentral:rRNA from 1 species
UACGUAGGUGACCAGCGUUGUCCGGAUUUACUGGGCGUAAAGAGCGCGCAGGCGGUCGUUCAAGUCGAGUGUGAAAGCCCCCGGCUCAACUGGGGAGGGUCAUUCGAUACUGAUCGACUUGAAGGCAGGAGAGGGAAGUGGAAUUCCCGGUGUAGAGGUGAAAUUCGUAGAUAUCGGGAGGAACACCGGUGGCGAAGGCGGCGACCUGGGUCGACACUGACGCUGAGGCGCGAAAGCGUGGGGAGCGAACAGG